rfam:Echinostoma caproni strain Egypt genome assembly, scaffold: ECPE_scaffold0000193
GGCCUCGUAGCUCAGCUGGGAGAGUGUGCGCUGUACAAAAGUAUAGGCGGCGUCCAUGCGUGGGUUCGAAUCCCACUGAGGCUA